rnacentral:lncRNA from 9 species
AAACGGGGAGUGUGGGGGGGCCAUCUUGGUGGGUGACAGGUGACAGGACUGUGCUGGGGGGAAAACGAGGCUGGGGUCUCCCCUCCCCCGCACCUGCCCAACUGCAGACCAAAGCCUUAGGUGCCCACAGGGAUCUCAGGAUGCUGCCCCUUACUGGUCAUUUGCAUUCCCCCCCCACCCCCGCGCCCCCUACUCUGCCUGCCUUCCUAGACUUUUCCAGAAUCUCCAGCUUUGAGUGCUCCCUGCUGCCUCUUGCAUCUUUCUGGGAGCUCUGCUGAGUGCCCACGUCCUGGGAAUGAUGGAGAGAAGUGGGGGGCGUGCUCCCAAUGCCCCCCGCCCUCGGGGGCACCCUUGCUCGGCACUUACACUGUGGAAGCAGAUUCCUCCACUAACCACACCCACCUUGCAGGAGCUGAGGGAUUACAGAUGACAAUGGAUUUGAGACGGGGCCAGAGCAGUACUGCCGGUCGGCUCAGGAGCUGGCAGCAGGUGACAACUGGCUAUGAGACAGUCCCUCUGGCCUGGGCGAGGGGGGUCCCUGACCUGCAUCUUCACCUGUACGGUCCCCUCUCUGGUCCUCCUCUGGCCUUGCUCUCGUAAAGGUCAGGAUGCCCAGUGGACGCAGGGGGCUUCCUUCGUGGUCCACACACGGCACACCCAGGAGCCGGAAAUGCCAAGGGAACAGUCUUGUGUCCACACGUUCCUGCCCAUCAUCCUGAGGCUCCCCGCUCGGCCCCAGGCAGCCGGGACUUCUGGGGGAUCGGAUGGAAGCGGGACUUGGGGGCUGGGCUCCAGCCACACACCGCGGGCCAAGGUUAAGGGAUUUUCUUAAAAAUCGGGCAGUGACUGACCAGGUAACAGUGGAAUGAGAUACCCACACAACACAGACGUUGGAAAAGAGCGCAAAAGGGAGGCUAAGGAGCCCAACUGUGGCUCUGGUGAGAAUCUGCUUCCUCCUUCCCUGCUUCCCAACCAGUUAGUUACCUAGAAGUUCCAAUUCCAAAGGAAAGACAAGGGCCCUGCAAAGAACUGACUAUGCAUAUGGUUUAACCAGGGAGCAGUCUGGCUCAAGGGCUGAAUGUUCCGUGUCAAAUUCAAACACAUUUGCAUCCUUUCUCCCCCUGACCUUAGAUG